UUGCCAGACUCCUACGGGAGGCAGCAGUGGGGAAUAUUGGAUAAUGGGGGGAACCCUGAUCCAGCGACGCCGCGUGAGUGAAGAAGUAUUUUGGUAUGUAAAGCUCUAUCAGCAGGGAAGAAAGAAAUGACGGUACCUGACUAAGAAGCCCCGGCUAACUACGUGCCAGCAGCCGCGGUAAUACGUAGGGGGCAAGCGUUAUCCGGAUUUACUGGGUGUAAAGGGAGCGUAGACGGCAGUGCAAGUCUGAAGUGAAAGGCGGGGGCCCAACCCCCGGACUGCUUUGGAAACUGUGCUGCUGGAGUGCAGGAGAGGCAAGUGGAAUUCCUAGUGUAGCGGUGAAAUGCGUAGAUAUUAGGAGGAACACCAGUGGCGAAGGCGGCUUGCUGGACUGUAACUGACGUUGAGGCUCGAAAGCGUGGGGAGCAAACAGGAUUAGAUACCCUCGUA
rnacentral:rRNA from 1 species